rnacentral:lncRNA from 1 species
CGGCGGCUUUCGUCUCCGAAACACUUUCGCAAUCGGAGCUCCGCCGCCGCGUCUUCUCCACGCUCCGCCGCAGGCUCCCGCCACCGUUGGGUUCCAGCCAAACCGCGGCUAUUAAAUCCCUCAACUUCGCCGCGGAAACCCUAGAAAACGCCAUCGCCGAAUCCAGCGCAGCCGUCCGGACCUCCUCCCUCCGCCUCUGUGAGAAGCUCCUCCUCUCCGGGCCCAAAAGCCCCUUCUCCUCGCUCCUCCUCUCCCUCAUCUACGGCCUCUGCCGCCGCUCGAUCGACGCCGCCGUCUGCGUCCUCGAGAUCUUCCGAUCCGAGCCGGCGCUCGCCCGGACGGAAUUGGCUCCGGUGCUGUUCGAGGAGCUCUUCCUCGUCCACCUCCUCCCGGUUCUCCAGUGGUACAAUCGCCGGCGAUCGCAGAUUCUGCCGUCGCUGUCCCCAAAUGUCAGCUACGAAAACGACGACGACGACGACGUUUCGAUCAACGACAUGUCGGUGGCGUUUCCGGCGGGGUCGAAUUCGCUGUCGAAGAUGAGCGGGAACCAGACGGCGGGCUGAAGGAGCUGGAGAGCCGCUACG